rnacentral:pre_miRNA from 1 species
AUCAUCUGGGAAUUUUGUUAAAAGGCAGAUGCUGACUCAGAAGGUCUCAGUGAGAACCCAAGAUUCUGCAUUUCUAAUAAACUCCCAGGUGAUGCUGA